UCCUCCCGGAAGGCUGCAAGGCCCGAAUGCUCAGGCCUGCUCUUUUCCUAAAUGAGGUCUCUGCUGCCUCCUGCAGCUUAUUUUCCACAGAAAGCAAAUUAAAGAGGCCGCGAGGGGAUGUGAGAUUGGGAUGACCGGGGUGGGCGCCUCUGGCCCGGUGGCCUCCAUGGCCCCUGGGGCCCUGUCUGGGCUCUUGCCUGGGGAAGGAGGUCCUGGCUUCUGACCCUGUGGACCAAUCCCUGGAUUCCAAGUGCACAAUGUGGAGGGUGUCCCUGCCCCACCACGCGGAAAGGCUGACACCUGGAGGGGCCAUAGGGGGCUGGCGGGGGUCUCCACCCAGCCUCCUAUCCAGAUGCCCCUCCUCACUCCUGCACGUCCUGCUGUCCCAAAGCCCCGCUGGCCGAGGUGGGGGCCCUCAACAGUGUUGACAACAAACAUUACCCUGUGGAAACGCCGGGAAAUACAGAAACACAGUGAGAGGAUUCCUGGGGUCCCAGAGUUUGUCCGGCUGGGGACCAGGCCAGGGGAAAGAAAGUACUGGUCCGCCCACCCACCGCCCACCACCCGACGGACGGUCUUGGGUAGAGCCUGACAAGGAUUCUUGUGCACAGCGGGUUUCUGGAGGGAGGGCCACUGGAGACAACCUGCAGCCGCGAGAGUGAAGCCACACAGUGCAGGCAGCCAGACGUGACUUCAGCCACCCGCCUGGGCCCGUGGGGGCUCCUGGAGGGGCAUCACAGUGCUCUGUCUACCUUGAAGCAGGUGCUGGUUUUGUGAAAUCUCGUUUAGCCCCUCAUUGAGGUAUGAGUAUGCUGUGGCUGCUGUAACAAAGUGUUGCAAAGCUGGUGCUUUAAAUGGUAGAAAUAUUUACUCUCUCACUGUUCUGGGGCCAGAAAUCUGAAAUCUGGGUGAGGUGCCCCAGGGGGUCUCCCAGGGCAGCCCCUGGCCAUCCCUAGUCAGCUGGGCCCCCCACCCUCCCUGAGCUGCUGCUUCUUUGGCACAGGGGAAGGGUCACAAUGUCACCAGCCUCCUGGGCUCUGCAGAAGGGUGGUCCUGGGGUAGCUCCAGGUAAGGCCCCUUUCUCACUAGGCCCUCGUGGACCUGGGAGGGGACAAUGGGAGGGCCCAGUCUCAGGGCACCAAGUCCUGGCCACCAGACACCAUCCCUUCUGUUCUCAGAGCCUCCCGGGCUCUGGGGGGGGCAGUGCAGGAACCCAUUUUUAGAUUCCAUUUCCUCCUUGUUUAGUAGAGGGAAAUCCAAAAGGACCAAAAGUGCCAGGAAAGAAGGAAACGCCACAGCAGCCACCCUCUUCCCCCAGCGCUCCACCCGCCUGGGCAUCCUCUGCCAGACUCUCUUCUUGGGUGAGAAAAAUAAAAUUC